rnacentral:rRNA from 1 species
AUUGAACGCUGGCGGAAUGCUUUACACAUGCAAGUCGAACGGUAGAGGGGGCAACCCCUCGAGAGUGGCGAACGGGUGAGUAAUAUAUAGGAACGUGCCCAGUCGUGGGGGGUAACGUAGCGAAAGUUACGCUAAUACCGAAUACGAUCUAAGGAUGAAAGCGGGGGAUAGCAGGAACUCGCGUGCUUGGCGCAGUCGAUAUCAGAUUAGGUAGUUGGUGGGGGAAAGACUCACCAAGGCAACGAUCUGUAGCUGGUCUGAGAGGACGACCAGACACACUGGAACUGAGACACGGUCCAGACUCCUACGGGAGGCAGCAGUGGGGAAUUUUGGACAAUGGACGCAAGUCUGAUCCAGCCAUUCCGCGUGCAGGAUGAAGGCCCUCGGUUUGUAAACUGCUUUUGUACGGAACGAAAAGGUCUCUCUUAAUACGGGGGGCUCAUGACGGUACCGUAAGAAUAAGCACCGGCUAACUACGUGCCAGCCGCCGCGGUAA